AUCUCAGGAUUUCAGAUAAGCUCUUGUUUUUUUCACAGGCUCCCUGGUAAUGUAGGAUGGGCUCGAAACCCAGGCUUUGAUGUGAGUAGAACUCCACCUAGUCUUUGGACAUAAAGAUAUGCAUAUAAAUUGUUCCUGUUUUGGUUUUCUAGCAAAUUAACCGGGAGCUGAAGAACCGGUUUGGUAUGACCAGCACCUCUGAGGCUCAUCUGAAAGAGAACGAGACCUCUAAGCCCAUCUCUGACUUCAAACAGAAGAAAGUAGUAGAAGCAGUGAAGGAGGAACUACAGAGACAAGGUCCCUCUGUGCCCCCACUGCCCCUUCUAAGGCAAAGAUCUCUUCUACGACCAUCAUCAUCAUCAGUUCCAUCCAAAUGUGGAGCACCACCUGCUCACCUUCCUCCUCCAGUCCCUCCACACACUGCUCCCCUAAUACAAGCUUAUGGAAUGAACACAGGAAAGUCGACACUGCUGAGUCAAGUCAGAGAAGGGACCCAGCUAAAGGUGGCGCAAGAAAACUUGCCAGUAUCCAACACCAGAAGUCGUCUAUCUAAUAAUUACGCAUAUCAAUCUGGUUGGUUUGUUAUAGUAAUAAUAGUGUUUUUCAUUUAUUUUUUAUUGUAUCUUUUACCUAUUUCUGCUGGAAAAUGAGGUGUCACUAUGGGUUUUUAUGUGUUAAAGGGGCUGGCUUUUAACCUCUGUAUAAUCAUAGCACAAUUAGUCAAUAUUUACUCAGCCAAAAGAUGGUUUCAAAGAAGUGAUGCAGGACAAAGUAAUAACAAUUUUAAUGCAGUCAGAUGAGAUUAUGAGUUGACUAGUGUGGAUGUCUAAUGUUUUUUCACCACUAUAGCACCUACAACAGCAAAAAAAGUGAUCGCCAAAUAAUGGUUAUUUUAGUUUAUAUAAGUAUAAGUAUUUUAGAGUUAUAUAAUAUAUAAUUAUAAUUAUUAUAAUUAUAUAAUGGUUAUAUUAUAUAACCAGCCAUGUGGCGUGCACGGUGGAGCAGUGGGUAGCACUGUCGCCUCACAGUAAGAAGGGCCUGAGUUUGAGAUGUCAUUUUACGCAUUAAAAAAAAAAAAACACCAACCCCGGAUUUACAGCCCUGUCUGCCAGUGAAAGUUGCCCAAUGCGUUUUAUGACCUUGUAGCGAAUUCAAUUUAAUAAUUUAACAUUAAUGCAGAAACAUUAAUAUUCCUCAAAAUAGGGGCACGAGGUUGGUUUUAAAGCUGAAACCUCGCUAGACAAACACCAGAUGUCAAUUUAGUGAGUUAAUACUUAUGAUUAAUAGUAAUCACAAUUUCUUUGAUAAAACCAAAUCAGUCUCUAAUGUCAUGAGUUCUUGUCAAAGUGUCAGUGGCAUUUGUUGUUGUCUGAAGAAGGACAAACACAAAACCAGAUUUUAACGUUUUAUUAUGCUAAUACUAUGGAAUAUAUGAAUAAAAGGAUAAUUGUUGCUUGUUGUUGUUGCUGU
rnacentral:lncRNA from 1 species